UUUGAAGAAAGCAGAGUCCGGACCCGUUCUAUUUGGACAACUACUGGGAACGCUUCCGUUAAUUACACUGGUCGAUACCCAUCAAUCAUCAUGUAAACCAUCCUAAAAGCCUUCAAUACUUUAGCAGCGAGAAUCGAUUAUUGGGUUUGCUAAAUUGUUGGUAGGAAUCGCGUUUGUGUUGGUUUUGUUGUGAUUGAAAGCUUGAACAAUCCAACGUUUACAGAAAUUGAUUCCUAAAAUCUUAAAAGAGACAAGGUAAGGGUCUUCAGGUUCUUCUCCUUUAUCUGAGACUCCUUGUUUGAGUGGUGAUGGUGGUGGUGGAGGAGGAGGAACUGCUGCUUUAUCAUCUUCUGCUAUAUUGGCCACCAAAACUCCCAGGAAUGUAAGGUCUGAGGUGGAAGCUUAAAGUGAGUCAGAGCCAAUCCUUACCAUUCAAAUGGGGAGAUUAAUGGGCAUUGUAGAAAUAUGUACUGCCCACUUUUGUACUUAAAUCCCUGAGGCUUCGACAUGAUUAAACUAAAAACAUUUCCUGGCAGUACCGAAACCUGCAAUGAUCAUGAAAGUCUCAAAACUUCAGGUUUUCUGCAAAAGUUGUUUGCAGACUUUCUACUGUAUCAUAUUCUGCAGAAGCCUAACAUCAGUUGUUUGUGAGGAAGAAAAGAAAAUUCUUUCCCCUCAGCCCAUGUAAUAAGGUGGGAGUUUGAAAGUAACUGAUCAAUUACCUUCAAUACUUUAACUGAAUAAUGCUCUGAUCUACAAGUUCGCACAGUCCUCUCUGCUACGUAGAGCAGCAAAGGAACAGAGAUGUACAUCCAUGUCUGAAAUGUUAGCAAAACACUCAGUUCCAACACUACUGGUUCCAUGAACAAGUAGCAAAACAUAAACAAGGCCGAGAAGAUGAUGAGAGUACCAAAAUGCAUUGAAGCCUGUCAAUCUGUUGAACGGUGCAGGCAGCCUCACCACAUUUCUUCGAAAGUGACUUGUUGCUAGAAUGAAGGAGAUGGCCAUUAAAACCACCAUAGAAAUCCCAGUCACGCCUUCAACACCACUCAAUAGGUCUUUGUACGUUGGCUUUUUGUUUCUGUCGAAAUCUGUAGAUAUCAAGGCAAAAUCUUCUGGAGAUGAGUUUACAAGGCGAGGAAAGUCACAUGCCAGAUGGUUUCCUGCAUGAAGGAACACUCCAAUGGCUAUAGCACAUGCAAUCAUCUGUCAAGUUAAAAUGAAGAGGGAAGUCAAAAAUUACGUGCAACUGUUAUGUUAUAAGUGUUUGCCCUCUAGUUAUGAGGAAUACUACUCCUUAUCUCAGAUUUUAUUAUCUUUAGUCACACCAACUGAUGUGACACAUUUUAAGUGGCUUCGUAACUUAACCACUCGAAUAAAAAUUCAUUUCAUUAAUUUUGUGUAACUUGGGGUGACAAAAUUCGAGAUCUUUUGGUUUGACUAGCUGCUAAGGUUGCAGGCUACUGCUGCUGGUCGAAUUGCCCUAAAUACAGAAGCAGUCUGGAUCAAAUUUCAUUAACUUACAAUCUCUUGUUAUCACUAAAAUGUGAUACAUUAACUUUGUAUACUGAUGCUAUAAUAUUUAAUCAAAUUCUAUUUACAAACUUUAAGCCAUUUUUAUCCAUUUUUCAGCACGCUACUCGGUGGUGACUCCAAUUACAUACCUUGUGGAAAUUGAUGUUGUCGUCAAAGGGGACAAAGGAUCUGGCUCUUGUGGACCGAAGCCAUGUCAGGGUAUUUCGACAAACAGGUAAGAGGAUGAGAGCCAUGUUGAGUUUCAGAGUCUCUGCAGCCCCUUUGGCUGUCGCCAAGCAAUAUCCCAUGACCUGAAAAGCAGCCCUACUCCUGUAUUGGUUGAAUUUCCAGGCAAAGAGACCUGCCAUGGUUAGCAACCACAACAACAAAAUCCAACCCCUCUGCCAAUUCUCUAUUAUGAGACAUCGGAGUGUCUCGGUUGCUCUUCGCAUCACAUUCUUUGGCCUCAAGGAACCGAUGUUCUGACUCCAGCCUACACUUGCUGUGCUGAGUGGUCUGCUGUAAUUCAUGUAAGUGUCUCUUUGAAGCAGCAGUGUUUCCAACUGCCAUAACUGAGAAAAAAGAUCAAACAACAAAAGGAGUCAAACAAGCAUGUUUUAUUAAUGCUUUAGGAAAAGUAGCUGGCCUCUUGUGUUAGAACAAGCAUGCUUUAAUUUACCUCAAUGUAUCCGAGGUUUUCUGGAUCAAGCUCUUCCAUAAUCAAUGAAGCGUAUUCUUCUGCCUGUUCUUUCAA